AGCAUUGUGAUGCAGUGGUUUGAAUUUUGGACUAGAACUCUGGGAAGCUAGGGUUCAAAUCCCCACUAAGCUG